rnacentral:rRNA from 1 species
AACGUAGGAGGCGAGCGUUAUCCGGAUUUACUGGGUGUAAAGCGCGUGCAGGCGGCCGCGCAAGUCGUGCGUGAAAGCGCCCGGCUCAACCGGGCGAGGUCGUGCGAAACUGCGGGGCUUGAGGCAGGUAGAGGCGUGUGGAAUUCCGGGUGUAGUGGUGAAAUGCGUAGAGAUCCGGAGGAACACCAGUGGCGAAGGCGGCACGCUGGGCCUGGCCUGACGCUCAGACGCGAAAGCAUGGGGAGCGAACGGGAUUAGAAACC